AUUCAUGGGAAUGUGGCUUCUAUGUGAUGUGUUGGAUUAAGACCAUCAUUCGAGCUGUCAUUACAGAUGACUGGAAUGAGCGCUUCAAGACUACAUCGCCUAUUGCAGAGGACACAAUUAACCAGAUAAGGCAGGAGUGGACCGCUUAUCUUUUACAAAGAUGGAGUUAGGAAUAGUUAUAUUUCUUCUUGAUUGAACAUUGUUUGGUUUUAGUUUUAUUUUUAUGUUAAUAGUUUGGUAGUGGAUUGAACAUUAAGUAGAAUUUUGUUUAUAUAAAACGCAUAUUUAUGUU